rnacentral:lncRNA from 1 species
UGACCUAUCUUUAUAUUUCAUUUGUUCUUGGUGGGAAUUUUUUUCGAUAUUUUAGUAUUUAAUCCCUUCCUACCUUGAAUGUCCAUAAGUUGUUAAUAUCCAUAUAUUCAGGUUUGAGAAGAUUAAAUAGGGGAAAUUGUCAUACCCCAAAAUUCACCAUACCCUUCACAAUUAUCAUCUAGUUCACUAACACUAAACAUUUGCAUCUCUUGAUAAGCAUUCAUCUCAUCUAAAUAUCCAUAAUAUUAACAAAACCUCUCACAUUCAACUCCUCCACCAAAACCGAUUUUGAAACUUCCAAACUACCAUUCUAUUUUUUCAUCCAAAGCCACCCUUCAAUAAAAAAAGAAGAAGAAUUCCAAC